GAGGAAAAAGAAACCAACAGGGAUUGCCCCAGUAACGGCGAGUGAAGCGGCAACAGCUCAAAUUUGAAAUCUGGUCCCCAGGGCCCGAGUUGUAAUUUGCAGAGGAUGCUUUUGGUGAGGUGCCUUCCGAGUUCCCUGGAACGGGACGCCAUAGAGGGUGAGAGCCCCGUCUGGUUGGAUACCGAGCCUCUGUAAAGCUCCUUCGACGAGUCGAGUAGUUUGGGAAUGCUGCUCUAAAUGGGAGGUAUAUGUCUUCUAAAGCUAAAUAUUGGCCAGAGACCGAUAGCGCACAAGUAGAGUGAUCGAAAGAUGAAAAGCACUUUGAAAAGAGGGUUAAAUAGUACGUGAAAUUGUUGAAAGGGAAGCACUUAUGACCAGACUUGGCCCCGGUGAAUCAUCCAGCGGUUCCCGCUGGUGCACUUUGCCGGGGUUCAGGCCAGCAUCAGUUCGCUCCGGGGGAUAAAGGCUUUGGGAAUGUGGCUCCCUCGGGAGUGUUAUAGCCCAUUGCGCAAUACCCUGUGGCGGGCUGAGGUUCGCGC
rnacentral:rRNA from 1 species